AGAGGAACCAUCAGGAUAAACACAGUAGGGACACAGUCAGGGGACAGAGAGACAGGAGGAACCAUCAGGAUAAACACAGUCAAGGGACAGACAGACAGGAGGAACCAUCAGGUCAGGGGACAGAGAGACACUAGGAACCAACAGGUCAGGGGACAGAGAGACAGGAGGAACCAUCAGGUCAGGGGACAGAGAGACAGGAGGAACCAUCAGGUCAGGGGACAGAGAGACAGGAGGAACCAUCAGGUUAGGGGACAGAGAGACAGGAGGAACCAUCAGGUUAGGGGACAGAGAGACAGGAGGAACCAUCAGGUCAGGGGACAGAGAGACAGGAGGAACCAUCAGAUCAUGGGACAGAGAGACACUAGGAACCAUCAGGUCAGGGGACAGGAAACCAUUGUAUAUCUGUUUACAGUAGGUUCCUUCCAUGUAAUCUGUUGUUAUUGUCUCCGAUGCCAUUCUCUAUGUAAACAACUUCAUGAGGUGUGCUUGAUGUGUUUGUUUUCUCACAGAUUCUGGGCCCCAUCGGUGUCAACUAAACAGAGUCAAAUGAUUUGUUUCACUGAUGUUCUGAUUAUGCACCUGCUGUGGGUUCAUUUAGAACUUGGCAUUUGAUUUGAUUUGAUUUCAUAGUCACCCUUCAAGUAAAGGUCAUUGUCUGACUGAAAACAUGAACAAACAAAAGACAGAGAGAGAGACAGACAGACAGUGAGAGAGAGAGAGAGAGAGAGACAGAGAGAGAGAGAGAGAGAGAGAGAGAGAGAGAGAGACAGAGAGAGAGAGAGAGAGAGAGAGAGAGAGACAGACAGAGAGCGACAGAGAGACCGACAGAGAGAGACAGAGAGAGAGAGACAGAGAGAGAGAGAGAGAGAGAGAGAGAGAGAGAGAGAGAGAGAGAGAGAGAGAGAGAGAGAGAGAGACAGACAGAGAGCGACAGAGAGACCGACAGAGAGAGACAGAGAGAGAGAGAGAGAGAGAGAGAGAGACAGAGAGAGAGAGAGAGAGAGAGAGAGAGACAGAGAGAGAGACAGAGACACUCAUGUUUAUUCAUCACUCCCUCCAAACACUUUUUUGAGUCUGUUUGAAGGACACAGCCUUCAAGGUACAUUUGCCUUCAAGGCAUUUCUCUCCUCUUUAAUUCUAGUCCCACAACAUUGGCUACCAACCAACUUCAAGUUUUCUCUCAUCCCAAACUUCACAUCCAUCCACAACACAUUGUUCAAAGCCCCAGUGUAACGCAGGAGAUAAAGUCAAUGUUGGACUUGGUGAAGCUACAUCUGGGAGGGCGUACGAACGGCGAACACUAAAUCCUACAGAGAAGUUAACUCUGGCUGGGAUGCUGUGUUGUGGUCAUCUGGGAAGCAUAUCAAAGGAAACGUUGCCUGCGAGGCAGAUCAGCCUCAGGCACAAAAAUGAUUUACAAAAAAAAAAGAGAAAACAAUUGAUUUAAAAUGAUGAUGUGUACUCAGACUACCCACA
rnacentral:lncRNA from 1 species